CGUGAUGAAAAAAUGAAUCUCGUUUUGUAUUCGUCAGUGUGUGAAAGUAGCCACUGGGACCAUGAACGCAUCAGGAAAAUGUUUACUGUGGUCACAGAUCGAGCCAACUGGGAGCCCUUUAAAGAUGGAUGUAGCUACAGUGAUGUCAGGCUUUGCAGCCAGGAGUUGUUCACUUUUCCUGGGCCAUUGGUUUGCAAAAACCCUGAGGCGGGGGUGUGGGGUUCUGAUUGUCGUCAGCCCAUGAUGACACACUUUGAAACGCAGUAUGACCAAGAUUUUAUUUUUUAUUACAUUUGACCCAAAAGCAGUGAAUGAGAUCAUAAACUGGGUAUGAAGGUGUGUGCAGAGGUGAAGACCGCCACUUCCCAGCUCUGGGAGGCUUUUUGCAACCACAGCUAUCGCCAUCUGGUGGCCUGAAAUAGAAUGCAAGUUUUUAAGCACUUCUGCUUUAGCUUAAUUUUUCUGACACAGCCCAGGUUUUAUCUGUCUAGAGUAAUCCCCCUGUGCUGCCAGCGAAGGACCGAGGUUUCUGUGUUUCAGGUCACGCUGUGUGUCAUCUGGACCCAGCGUUAGACCAGCACAGAGGAUUCUGUCAAGAGCAACUUUCAACAGAAUUGAUUGUGAUUGGAUGCUAAGUUGUAAUACUCCUUGAAUUUAAAAGCAUGAAGAUUUCUGUAGAGGAAGCAGCACGGCUCGUCACUCCCAGGUGUCUUUUAGCUGCAGUAACAGAUGGUAACACUCCUAUGAGGACGAUGUGUUCUCCAGUCUGCGUGGAACCCUCACUGGUCGGUUCUGUUAGAUCCAUUAUCAUCCUCCGAGAAUCUCCACACCAAUGGGUCCGCAGCAUGGAACAUUGCACAGGACAAAGAUCGAGGGACGUGAUUUGUUUUACACAUUUGAAUGUAUUUUUACACCAAAAACGUGCAUUUGGUGUGAUUGGUUAAAAUGUGGAGUGAUCUAAGACACUAACCUUCGAAAUGUGGCACAUAAAGAAGGUUGGCUCGAACUAUCUUGGAGACCAUAUGGAUGAAAUAAGAUUUACACAGGAAUAAAGCCCUAAUCGGGCUCAUCCCCAACUACCAAAACAAGUGUGGGUUUCUGUUUGUUUUUUUACAACUGUAAACACUUUUAAUUUGCAUUGUGACCCAGAACCAUUUGGUUUUACAUUAUAUAUGGAUGAACAUACUCAUUAGAAGCAUUGUAUAAUCAAAGACUGAUCUGUGCGUGUUGUCUUGUAUGUACAGUAGUAGCGUAAUGCUACAGGGGCACCUGGUUCACCAACUCCUGUUACACGUUUUUCAGUAAAAUGAGCUAAAGCUGUAA